rnacentral:rRNA from 1 species
GCAGUAAGUACACUCACGCCCUGGGUACUAUAUUUUCCUGAUUCAAACUCAAAUAACAUGGCGGUAGUAUAAAUAUUUAGGGGAACUUACUAAGUAAACGAUAACCACCAAGAACAUGUACAUUAAUUAAAAUUUUACAUACCGUCGUCGUCAGGUAAACUUUUAUAGGAUAUCUAAAUAUUAUAUAAGAAAAAGACAGAUCAAGGUGUAGACAAUACUAAUGUUUAAGCGAGUUACUAUAAAAAUUAUAUUCACUUCACGACCUUACUGUCGUUAAAUGUAGGACUUAAAAGUAAUUUAUAUUAAGAAUACUAUAUGAAUUUAUUUUAUACUGCGCACAA